rnacentral:rRNA from 1 species
AGAGUUUGAUCAUGGCUCAGGACGAACGCUGGCGGCGUGCUUAAUACAUGCAAGUCGAACGGAGCCUAGCAGGUAGUUUACUACAGGCGAAAGCUUAGUGGCGGACGGGUGAGUAACGCGUGGGUAAUCUGCCCCUAAGUCUGGGAUAACAGAGCGAAAGUUCUGCUAACACCGGAUACACUUCCUUUAUCGCAUGGUGAAGGAAGGAAAGGUUACGCUUAGGGAUGAGCCCGCGUCCCAUUAGCUAGUUGGUGAGGUAACAGCUCACCAAGGCGACGAUGGGUAGCCGGCCUGAGAGGGUGGACGGCCACACUGGGACUGAGACACGGCCCAGACUCCUACGGGAGGCAGCAGUAGGGAAUUUUCCGCAAUGGGCGAAAGCCUGACGGAGCAACGCCGCGUGAGGGAAGAAGGUCUUCGGAUCGUAAACCUUUGUCAUCGAGGACGAUAAUGACGGUACUCGAGGAGGAAGCCCCGGCUAACUACGUGCCAGCAGCCGCGGUAAU